rnacentral:lncRNA from 1 species
CGAGGAUAAGGAGAACAAGUCCCUGGGGCUGUCCCCAGGGCUGGUUGGGGCGCGCGGCUGGGAGGCGCCCUGCCACCGCCAGGAUGCGCUCGGUGUAGCGGGACUGCCGGGGGGCGCCUGAAGGCCAGCGCUCCAAGGACACGCGGCCACCCGCUCCUCACGGGCUCCCGGGCCCAGACGCCCCGCAGCGCCGGAGCCGAGCCGCGGGGAGUGCGGGCGAAGGGUGGCAGGAGGGAGGGCGCGCGCGAGGCGGCCCCUCCUCGGCGAGCCAUGCGUGCCACGGGCCGCUGAGGAGCCGCCGGGCGCCGCUGCCAAGUCUCCGCUCCGCUUUUGUCUUGCCCUCCAGUGAAUGGGAAGAUGGAGAUGGAUGUGGAGGGAGUUUCUCCGCGCCCGGAGCCCAUCCCCCGCUCCCAGGGGGCUGGCGGAGCCAGCCAGGCGCCGCCACAACCGCCCCAGCCCCAGCCGCAGCCCCAGCAGCAGCUGGCUCAGGAUGAAGUGCCCGGCGAGAGUGCGGGUGCUGAGGACAGCGACGAUCUGGAGGCGAGACCCAACGGCGAGAGGGGGGAGAGCAAGUAUUCCAGUGACAGAAUCCACUCAAGAGAGUUGGGACCGAGGUUAUCAAGGAGCUGAGUUCUGA